GAAUCAACGCUGGCGGCGUGCCUCAGACAUGCAAGUCGAACGCGAAAGAGGGCUUCGGCCCUUGAGUAGAGUGGCGCACGGGUGAGUAACACGUGGGUAAUUUACCUUUGGGUGGGGAAUAACGAGUCGGAAACGGCUGCUAAUACCGCAUAAUGCAGCGGCUCCGACAUGGAGACAGUUGUUAAAGCGGGGAGCGAGCAAUCGCCCUCGCGCCUGAAGAGAAGCCCGCGGCAGAUUAGCUAGUUGGUGAGGUAAUGGCUCACCAAGGCUUC
rnacentral:rRNA from 1 species